ACCUUGCUGCCCGGGGCCGCUUCAAGGCCGCACAGCCGCUUCUGUGACAGGAGUCCCCCUUUCAUGGAGUUCAUCCCUGUGCUGGUGUUGGGGAUACAGGGCCCCACCCACGUCCCAGGUCCUGACUGCUACACAGAGCUGAUGCUGAGCCCUGCUAGGUGCCAGGGAGUGGUUCUGUCAAAAUUAGAAUUCGUUGCCAACAUUCAGAUCUCCAGAUUUUCAGCCUCUCUUUAAAAAAGGAAGGCUCCGGGCCAGGUAGUUGGGAGCUCAGAGGCAGCUGCUCUGUGGACGGAGCCUGGCUUCCUGCGGUGCUGCCUCCUAGCACACGAGGAGGAACCUCAGUCCAGGGCCCUAGAGCAAUCUUACCAGAAGCAAGAUGGAAGCAUCCAGAAUCCCACUUGGUCCCCACCCCUCUUUCCGAGUGGCCUGGAGGGGCAGGGGAAAAGCUCAUCAGUCCCACAUUCCCUGCUCUCUCUGCCCUGAGCAGUGCCCGGGGGAGGGGGCUGCAGUUUGGACAGAGUGGGGAGAAGGGAAUUCCAGAGGCCAUAUGCACCCAGAUCUGCAGAUCACCAUGAGGCUCUGACAUUGCCAGGCGGCCAGCACUCCUAGUGCAUUCACACUUCUCCCACGACGCAAAAAAUUCCCAGCCUGGUAACAAUGCCACUUAGCACAUCGGAAGAUUCCGAGAGCCUCGGGAUGGCUCUAAGAUACCACUUUGUAUGUCGCUGAGCACCUUGGAGAUUUCCUGUGAGGCCAGGGGCAGGGGUAAAGGACAUGCCACCCCACAUGCUCUGUAUUUCCUGAUGACGGAGUCACUGGCCAGGCUGGAAUGGUGCCUCUCCCUACCCCUCAUUGACAAGGUCCAUCCCACCUGCAAGAAGAAAGAAUACGGCAAGGACCAAUAGACGAAUGAGAGUUGAGCGGUGAGAUCGGGAAAUUGAAUAGUAUGUGGGUGUCUGGAUAUGAGAAGUUAAAUCUAAUGAAAAUUUCAUCCAGUUGAACCAAGAAAUCAGAAGCAGGGCCUUUAUUCCUGUCAACAAGAAUACAGUGAAAAUUAAACCAA